GACCACACUGACCCCCUCCAUCCCUCUCCAUCCCCCUUCUCCAUCACCAUGUCACCUGACCACACUGACCCCCUCCAUCCCUCUCCAUCCCCCUUCUCCAUCACCAUGUCACCUGACUCCACUGACCCCCCCCUGACCCCCUCCAUCCCCAUCACCAUGUCACCUGACUCCACUGACCCCCUCCAUCCCCUUUCUACCAGCCAUGUUGUGGUGCAUCUCAGCUAAAAGAGGUGGAAUCAAAUAACCGUUGGAAUAGAUUAUGACAGACGUUUCCGCGUCAGGAAAGUACGGAUAACUAACUCAGCGCCCCAUUGGUUGGAUUUACCAGAGGAGAGGGCGGGGACCUGCUGCAGAUGACAGAUGCAGAAGCCAAUCAGGUUGGAAUAAAUAGCAAAAACGGCAUAGACCAACAGACCCAUUGGCCAAUGCAAUGCAACAGAACGGCCGACUGCUAAGACGCCUGGACUACAGUGUCUCCUGGAGAUGUGACGUGGGAAGAUGACAGCUGCCGGAGAGACAGACACAUGGAGGUGGUGAAAGAUGAGCAGUCCUCUGCUGUAUAACACUUCCUGAAACACCCCGCGGUUUCCCAUCCCCCGACCGCUGGAGACCUCCUCAGCUAACAAGCCACGGGAGAAAACACCAUCACGGUCUUUUAUCUCUGAGAGGAGGAACGGAUGAAAUACACAACGGAAAAGAUGAGAAAAAAUGACUCACUGGAGGACAGGGCUCUGACAUGCCUUUACAUUAGGAACAACUGACAGGAUGUAGAAUACACCACCUGGACAACAUCACUGACAGGAUAUAGAAUACACCCACCUGGACAACAUCACUGACAGGAUAUAGAAUACACCCACCUGGACAACAUCACUGACAGGAUAUAGAAUACACCCACCUGGACAACGUCACUGACAGGAUAUAGAAUACACCCACCUGGACAACAUCACUGACAGGAUAUAGAAUACACCCACCUGGACAACAUCACUGACAGGAUAUAGAAUACACCCACCUGGACAACAUCACUGACAGGAUAUAGAAUACACCCACCUGGACAACAUCACUGACAGGAUAUAGAAUACACCCACCUGGACAACAUCACUGACAGGAUAUAGAAUUCACCACCUGGACAACAUCACUGACAGGAUAUAGAAUACACCCACCUGGACAACAUCACUGACAGGAUAUAGAAUACACCCACCUGGACAACAUCACUGACAGGAUAUAGAAUACACCCACCUGGACAACAUCACUGACAGGAUAUAGAAUACACCCACCUGGACAACAUCACUGACAGGAUAUAGAAUACACCCACCUGGACAACAUCACUGACAGGAUAUAGAAUACACCCACCUGGACAACAUCACUGACAGGAUAUAGAAUACACCCACCUGGACAACAUCACUGACAGGAUAUAGAAUACACCCACCUGGACAACAUCACUGACAGGAUAUAGAAUACACCCACCUGGACAACAUCACUGACAGGAUAUAGAAUACACCCACCUGGACAACAUCACUGACAGGAUAUAGAAUUCACCCACCUGGACAACAUCACUGACAGGAUAUAGAAUACACCCACCUGGACAACAUCACUGACAGGAUAUAGAAUACACCACAUGGACAACAUCACUGACAGGAUAUGACACAGAUUAAACCAGGUGGACAAUGUGUCUGACACAGAUUAAACCAGGUGGACAAUGUGUCUGACACAGAUUAAACCAGGUGGACAACAAUGUGUCUGACACAGAUUAAACCAGGUGGACAAUGUGUCU